GAUGAACGCUGGCGGCGUGCCUAAUACAUGCAAGCCGAGCGAACGGACGAGAAGCUUGCUUCUCUGAUGUUAGCGGCGGACGGGUGAGUAACACGUGGAUAACCUACCUAUAAGACUGGGAUAACUUCGGGAAACCGUAGCUAAUACCGGAUAAUAUUUUGAACCGCAUGGUUCAAAAGUGAAAGACGGUCUUGCUGUCACUUAUAGAUGGAUCCGCGCUGCAUUAGCUAGUUGGUAAGGUAACGGCUUACCAAGGCAACGAUGCAUAGCCGACCUGAGAGGGUGAUCGGCCACACUGGAACUGAGGCACGGUCCAGACUCCUACGGGAGGCAGCAGUAGGGAAUCUUCCGCAAUGGGCGAAAGCCUGACGGAGCAACGCCGCGUGAGUGAUGAAGGUCUUCGGAUCGUAAAACUCUGUUAUUAGGGAAGAACAUAUGUGUAAGUAACUGUGCACAUCUUGACGGUACCUAAUCAGAAAGCCACGGCUAACUACGUG
rnacentral:rRNA from 1 species